UUUUAAUUGAAGGCUUGUAUGAACGGUUGGACAAAAGAAGUACUGUCUUUUUAUUAUAAUUUAACUUGUCUUUUAAGUGAAAAGACUUAAAUUAAUUUAAGGGACGAUAAGACCCUAUAAAUCUUUAUAUCUGCGCUUAGCUUAUUAAAAUUUUUACGUUUUUAAAAUAAGAAAGUUUAAGGUAUUAUGUUGGGGCGACAAGAAUAUUUAGUAAACUGUUCAAAUAUUAAAACAAAGUUAUUUGAAAUAAUUAAUAGAUCCUGAAUUAAGAAUGAAGUUUAAGUUACUUUAGGGAUAACAGCGUUAUUUUUUUUGAGAGUUCUUAUCGAAAAAAAAGUUUGCGACCUCGAUGUUGAAUUAAAAUUUCUUUUUAGGGUAGCAGCUAAAGAAGAGAGUCUGUUCGACUUAUAAAAUUUUACGUGAUCU
rnacentral:rRNA from 3 species